rnacentral:rRNA from 1 species
GACGGAAGGGGCUAGCGUUGUUCGGAAUGACUGGGAGUAAAGGGCGCGUAGGCGGUAUUUUAAGUGAGGCGUGAAAGCCCUGGGCUUAACCCAGGAGGUGCGUUUCAUACUGGAAUACUUGAGUGCGAGAGAGGAAAGUGGAAUUCCUAGUGUAGAGGUGAAAUUCGUAGAUAUUAGGAAGAACACCAGAGGCGAAGGCGGCUUUCUGGCUCGCAACUGACGCUGAGGCGCGAAAGCGUGGGGAGGAAUCAGG